CUACGGGGGGCAGCAGUGGGGGAUAUUGCACAAUGGGCGAAAGCCUGAUGCAGCAACGCCGCGUGAAGGAAGACGGUUUUCGGAUUGUAAACUUCUAUCAGCUGGGAAGAAAAUGACGGUACCAGACUAAGAAGCCCCGGCUAACUAUGUGCCAGCAGCCGCGGUAAUACAUAGGGGGCAAGCGUUAUCCGGAAUUACUGGGUGUAAAGGGUACGUAGGCGGCUGAUCAAGUCAGAUGUGAAAGCCCGGAGCUCAACUCCGGGAUUGCAUUUGAAACUGGUCGGCUAGAGUGCAGGAGAGGAAAGUGGAAUUCCUAGUGUAGCGGUGAAAUGCGUAGAUAUUAGGAAGAACACCAGUGGCGAAGGCGGCUUUCUGGACUGUAACUGACGCUGAGGUACGAAAGCGUGGGGAGCGAACAGGAUUAGAUACCCUGGUAGUC
rnacentral:rRNA from 1 species